rnacentral:lncRNA from 1 species
GUUCGAGGCAAUGGCUAGUGACAGCAGUCACGGGGUGGUCAGCCGCAAAGCUUAGAAGAGUCUGGGUGUAGUCUAUUUUUUUCUUUCUUUUCAUGAAAAGAGUAAUACUAAUGGUUAAGGUAUUGACAAUGAUAAAUUAGAGAAUCACUAUCACUUUGUGCAUUGACGGUUGGAAAAACCGGUAGUGACAAGAAACUAUCACCCAGC